ACACAGCUAGUGCUAUCAUGUUCAUUUUAGACUAAUUAGGCUGUUGGGUCACAUGAAUUCAUCUAUUACCUAAUUUAAUUAUUUCAACAUCCCUCUGGGUUAGGAUUCACUGCAGUCAGUUUACAUAGCAGAGAACAGGCCAACAUCACCCAAUUAACCAAAGUUCUUUCCAGCCCAAACCCAUAUCCUGAAUAUCUUGCUAUGCUGCAAAGAUGCUUUUCAAUGAUAAUGAGCUUUAGAAUGUCAGUUAUGAUUAGGGGAUUUCUGCCAAAUGGAAGAGUCACAUUUGGUGUGUAGAGGUCCAGGGUGCUAAGGAAAAGGCAGGCUUCUGAGGCCAUCCUCUCUCUCAGACCUUCUGGAGGGCAAACCGGAACCUUUGUGAUAUAGCUGUUGGUGCUUCUGGUCCUGAACAGAAAGGAUAUGGAGAGAGGUUUCCUGCCUGGUAACACCAUAGAAUCGGCACCACGAGUGGAAGGACCAGGGACUGCCCACAUCAGUGCAUCGCCUCAACUGAGUCGACCUCCAUGGCUGCCACGCCCUCCCCACCAGCUUCUGAUGGUGACGAUGUUGGUGAGCGGUUUGCAGGGGCUGAACAGAGAGGCGACCACAAGUGAAGCUCACCCAUGGGCUACCCUGGCCCACUGAAGCAGAAGAGAAAUGUACCCCGUCUGCCAUGCGCCUGGCAACUCGUAAGGUAUUUCUGCACCUAUCAGCAAAUUCCAACUUCACCCAACCCUGUGAAGGAGGCUUCCAUCUGCUUCAUCAUUUUGCAGAUGCUGAGAGUUUAAGUGACUUGAACGUGGUCACACAGAAUCUUUUCAUUACACCCCACUGCCUCCCUCAGCACUCAGUGGAUAUAGAUUGAUGACAGCAACUGAGUAUUAGACUGGAAAGCAGCCCGGCGGGCCUCCUGCGGCUGAGACGCCAGUGACUUCAGCCCUGCUCAAGGUCCUUUUUCACCAGCCACUGGGCUCCCUGGGGCUGGGCCCAGGUCUGCUUGUGACCUGGUAAAAUCCAAGCUUAAAGCAGUUCUCCUUUUGACUCUCUCUGAGCUCUGUCUCCUCCCAGCUUCCCUGGUCUAGGAGUGAGCCCUACAUAUCAAUUUUCACUGAUGAGACUGACCCAGGCAGAGUUUGCACUCAGCUCCUCUGCUUACUGGCUGUGUGCCCCCAGGUAAGUAACUUAGCUUUUCUGAGCCAAAGUUUCCCCAUCUGCUUAAAUGAAGGGGUGGUCCUAAUGAAUCCUAGUCCCUGGGGUGAUGGGGCCCUGGAGUUGCAGUUCGUUUGCAAGGGACACCCUUUAUAAGUGCUGUCCUCUUGCGCAGCAUUGGGCACUCCUUCGGAGGGGGUGGGCAUCACAUAGAGUCUCUAAGUCUGGGGCUUGGAGAAGGAUCAUACUGGCAAUGGAGAAGGGAAGGCACUUGUAUCCUCCCCUCUGCUGGCUCCAGCAAAGCUCAGGCAUUCUGCCACCUGCCCCAUAAAACAGUCUUAGGUGUUUGCCCUGGGACUGUGACUAACAUUUCCAUAGGUGUCUGCCCUGGGACUGUGACUAACCUGAAGCACCCAGCUUCUGUUGUAAGAGCUCCCAUCUGAAACCCAGUAGCUGGCUCUUUAGGCUACUAGAAGAAUCCUUCUAGGUUGCCUUGGGGUAUGCGGACAUGGGGAUUCAUUAGGGCUCUUUUUCUCGCUACUCGAUGGCAUCCUUUGGUGCCAGCUCACCAGGGCCUCGGGAGGCUGGGAGGGGCAGGGCACACUGAGGAGAAGUUCCCCCCUUCUUCACACCACCUACCAGCCCUUGGUUACUGGAAAGAGCAAAUGCAAAUGGAUCCAAAGCACAAUACCCAGAAUACACUGCCACGCUUCCUAGGGGCUCACUGUGAGUUAAAGCUGGGCUCCUCCUGGGGGCUGACAUUUUCCUUGGUUCAAACAACAUCUGCGCCUUGCCAAGCUGGGCAAAAGGUGAGAGAGCCAGUUACUGCCACUGUAGACUCAAGUAAAACAGAAAACCUAGCUACACAAGGUCCCUCCUACCUGGAAGGGGUGCUGGGUCCACACACACACUCACGCACAUGCACGCAUGCAUGCUCCCCCGACCAAUGCACUCUCAUGAGUACCUCACACACACACAGGCACACAUGCAUGUUCACAAGUCCUCCUUACACACACAUAUGCAUACUUAAGAGUACCUCACACACUCACACUUGCACACUUACAGAUCCCCUCACACUUGCAAACCCAGUAGGCACAUUGCCACUUAUGUACAGACACACAUGCAUGCCUUUUCAGGAACCUCAGGCCCACUCACACAUGCACACAUUCAUGCAUGCCUGUGUCCACCACAGACAACACACAGACUCUUGUGAACUAGAGGAGGGGAUUGAUAGUCUCCCUCUCCACCCCCCACUCCCCAGAUUCAGCAGACCCAGCAAAGGCUGCUGAGAAUUUGAAAUAAAAGGCCAUCUUCCCCUCCAGGCUUCAGGCCAAAUCUCCAAAUGAAAUCAGGCCAGGGAGAAAUGAACAACUGAGAUGCACAAAACAAUGCGAAGAAGAAGCUCUGAAAAAAACCCGAAUAAUAAUAUAUAUAUAAAAAAAGGUGAGAGUUAUUUUUCAGCUCACUGGCUUUCUGAAAAGUAAUAUAAAGUUGGGCAGCGUCUUCUUGGAAUCGACCUUUCUGAGCCGAGACCCAGGCCACACGCACAUCUCUUUCCUCUCUUUCUAUUACCCGAGAUUUGUAUGGUUUCAUCUCCUCUGAUUUUCUUUCGUUUGUGCGCCUGUGCAAACCCCUUGUGUCAGGGGCUUGUUACUAACCUGGCAGCACCGGCCUGCUGGGAGCCCCUUCUCCCUUGGCCUCCUGCAGGGCUGAGAAUUGAGAGUCUGCUCAGUUCUGCUCCCCUCAAUGCCCAGGAGGGGCUGUAGACCUCCUCCCUACCCGACUCUUCCACUUACCUGGCCUCCCAGCCUUCUUUGUUUCUAAGAAAAUUCUCUCACAUACUUUUCACUCAACCAGGGCUGUAAAGGAGAGCCUGGAUGGGCUGAGGGGCCCCAGGUGCUGGAGCCCAGAGCCUUGCUCAGGGCCUGGUGCAGGUAGGAGCAGAACAAAUAUUUAGCGAAGGCAUGAAAAAGCAGAUGAAUAAGCAAAUGCUUCUGCCUUUUUCGGGGGGAGGAGGGAAGAAAUUCCUAUUCUAAAAUUUCCAGGAAAAAGAUUUAGGAAGGGGGACCAGAAUAUUAAAGUGAUGAUAAUCCCUGGGGUUCUAAUCACUGCUCCUCUAGGAGUGAGACUCGGAGGACUUAUAGAAAGGUGUCCCCUACACCUUUCUCCCCUGUCGCCUCCCCUCCAAGAUAACACUCAUAUGCACAGACACACAAUGAGAGAACCUCAAACACAUCCACAGAGUACACACACACGCAUCACAGACACAUGCACAUCAGCACACACACACACCCCUCACACAUCCACAGAAUACACACACACACACACACCCCUCAGACAUACCCACAUAGGUACACACACAUCCCUCAGACACACCCAGAUAGAUACACACACACACCCCUCAGACACACCCACAUAGGUACACACACACUCCUCAGACAGCCAGAUAGGUACACGCACACACCCCUCAGACACACCCAGCUAGAUACACGCACACACCCCUCAGACACACCCAGAUAGAUACACGCACACACCCCUCAGACACACCCAGAUACACCCCUCAGACAGCCAGAUAGAUACACGCACACACCCCUCAGACACACCCACAUAGGUACACACACACCCCUCAGACAGCCAGAUAGGUACACACACACCCCUCAGACACACCCACAUAGGUACACACACACCCCUCAGACAGCCAGAUAGAUACAUGCACACACCUCUCAGACACACCCACAUAGGUACACACACACCCCUCAGACAGCCAGAUAGAUGCAUGCACACACCCCUCAGACAGCCAGAUAGGUACACGCACACACCCCUCAGACACACCCAGAUAGAUACACGCACACACCCCUCAGACACACCCAGAUACACCCCUCAGACAGCCAGAUAGAUACACGCACACCCCUCAGACACACCCACAUAGGUACAUGCACACACACCUCAGACAGCCAGAUAGAUACAUGCACACCCCUCAGACACACCCACAUAGGUAAACACACACACAGACACCCUCAGACACAUCCACAUAGGUGCACACACACACACCCCUCAGACACAUUCACAUAGGACACACACACCCCCCCAGACACAUCCACAUAGGUACGCACACACACACACCCCUCACACAUCCCCAUAGGUACACACACACACACGCCUCACACAUCCACAUAGGUACACACACACACCCCUCAGAUACAUCCACAAAGGUACACACACCCCCCCACUCAGAUGCAUUCACAUAGGUACACACACACCCCUCAGACACAUCCACAUAGGUACACACACACACAUUCCUCACAUAUCCACAUAAGUACACACACCCCCGACACACAUCCACAUAGGUACACACACAUACCCCUCAGACACAUUCACAUAGGUACACACACACCCCUCACACAUCCACAUAGAUACACACACAUGCACCCCUCAGACACAUUCACAGAUGUGAAUGCACAGAUGCACCACUCAAACAACAAAAAUGCAUACACCUCAAAUGUACAUGCAUAUGGUCCCCUCAGAUACAUAUGAGUGCAUGCAUCUCUAACACAUCCACCUAUGUACAUGCACAUGAACACACCUGUGUAUGCUUGCACGACGAACACAUCUGCAUAAGUAUAUGCUCAUGCAGUCCUCAGGCAUAUGAGUGCAUACACUUUACACACGUCCACACAGGUGCAUGCACAUGCACCCCUGAGACACACAUGUAUAUAUGCAUGCACCUCAAACACACUCAUGCAGUUACACACACAUGCACCUCUCAGACACACACACGUGUGUGGUCAUCUCCAACCUAUCGACAUAGACACAAACACAUGCAGUCCUCAAGUGCAAACGUGUGUACACAUCGUAAACAUGGACACUCAAACCCAUGUGUUUGCACAUCUCAAAUAGGUUUUCACAGAUACCCACAUGUACCGCUCAAAUAUAUCCACACAUACCGACACAUCUGAAACGUACACAAAUACACACAUACACAUGCACACAGGUGCAUAUGCCCUUUCCUUUGCAAGAGUGCCUUUUUGAGCAGUGCUAGUCACUUUUUAGUGACCUGUGUCCACUCUCAUCUACUUCCUGCCGUAAGGAUAUGGGUGCUUGAUGAUUUGCCUCUCUCUUGACUUCUGCAAUGAAAGAAUCAAACAUGGGGUGGCAGCCCCUGUGGCUUCUUUACUACACAGAUGAUUGAAGGGUGCCUACCUUAUCCCAGACUAGGGUGCAGUGGCUUCAACAGACCCACCUGGCACCUGCCUUGGGUUCAUUCAAGGGAGAUAGAAGAUCUCUGUAUGGAUGUACAUUGGAUAGGGAAAUGGGAGCAUGAGGAUGUAGGUAAAGCAAUUGAAUCUUUUCUCCAGAAGAAAGUAGGAAGAAAUAGCUAACUCUGAUGCCCAUCUCUGUUGCAGCCUCUAUCCUGACUCACACUUAGGGGUCAAAGCACAAGUGAGUUGCUGGAUCAGAGGCUCAAGACUGCUCAAUGCCAACAGUACCAAUAAUGGAUGUUCACAAAUCCUGGGCUGUUUGCAAAAAUGCUUCUUCCUUCAUUAGGCUGUCUCUAUCAUCACAAUCAUCUUGUAAUAAAAAUGGGACAGGUAUUAACUAAAGGGCUUAUUUUAUAGAUGAGGAAUCUGUGGCUCAGGUAAGGUGAGCAACUUGCCAAGUGUAUUAGUCAGGGUCGGCUAAUUGCUGUAACAAACAUCCCCAGAUCUCAGUGGGUUAGCUCAGUAAGAGUUUUCCAAAUAUGCCCUCUUCAGUGAGACUCAGCAGGGAUGCUCUGCUUGAUGCAGUAGAGUCCAGGAACCAGGCUGCUUCUGCCUGCGACUCUGCUGUCCUCAAGCCACUUGCAGUUUCUUGAUUUGGCUGAUCAGUGGAGAAGAACAGGUGAGGGUUGUUUGUGGAAUGCUUUUUCUAGGCCAGGUCGGGAGGCAGCACACAUUACCUCGGUUCAUAUUCCUUAGGUUAGACUAGAGACACACAGCUAUAGCUAGCAACAAAGGAGCCUGGGAAAUGUAGUUCAGGAAGAAGAGGGAAAUGCAGACAUUGGUGGGCCCUGGCAGUUUCCACUACACCCAGAAUUAUACAACUAAUGGAGGCGGAAUCAGUUCUCAGACCUGAGUUUUUCAUUCCGGUGACUGUGCAUUCCCCUUCUAGCAUGUUUCUUUGAAGUGUAAAGCUUUACCAACAGAACACUGCUCCUGGUCUAUGUUCUAGGUCUGGAAGCUCUUACAUUUAUAAGAAUGUAAUGAUAAUGACGGUAAUAUCUAAUGAUUUAUUGGGCUCCUAUCUAUUCUAUUGUGUACACUCUCUCAUUUCAUUCUCUCCACCACCCCGUAAGGUAUGUAGAUAACACUACCUUCUCUAAUCUACCUUAGAGCGAUUAAGCAGCUUGUCUGAGGUUGUGGGAAAGAGAGAUGGUGAGUCCAGAACUUCCUGGCUCCCGUCUCCCAUCUAUCUCCUAUGUUGCUAUGGCUCCCACUGGGUUUGGGGUUGGAGGUAGGGUAGGUGGAGAGUGAGCCUUCUCUGCCCGGCAAGGCAGAGAUUCCUGGUGAAACUUAAGUAGGAUGCUAAUAAUGUCAGGAGUGGGCAGAGUCCUUGCAGCUCUGGGGAACAUUUGAAACCAUGUGCAAGCCUAGGCCAUUGUAGCUCGGUUUAGUUGAUAACCAUAUACCUGGAAUAUUGGUGGUGCUGGGAAUCGAUUUCUCAUUAUACGACCUUGAGCAAAGCAUCCUGGGUUAGGAGUCAAGAGCCUUCUAACCAUAAUUAACUAUGUACCUUUGGGCAUCUCACUGAAAGUCUGUGGGGUUCAGUACCACCACCCUCUUUCCCCUGUGAAUUGGAGAUUGUCACCACUAUCAUCAUUCCAGACCUUUCAAGCUGCGAUGGGCUCCUGAUUAGUCUUCCCAGCACCACAUAACUCCUCUUCAAAUCCUUCCUGCACAUCCCUGACAGAUUAGUCGUCUCAGUUGCACACAUACAUUUUCACCGUGUCUUUCUUCUGCUCAACAACUUCACGACUCUUUAUUACCAUAAAGCCCAAACUCCUUCGUGGAGCCCUUUCUUUAUAUUCCGUCCCCAGCUUACCUGUCCAAAUGAUCCAUCCUUGACUCCCCUGAGCACAGCAAAUGCUCCUGCCAGGCUGUCCUUUUUCUUCCCCGGGGAUCCUCAUUGCAGGGUGGUUCUCCUUCCUGCCUACCUGUUUACACCUCUAAGAUCCUUCUCUUAACACCACGAUCAUCUUCAUUCUCACGUCACUGCACUAAUGCUCCAUGCCUCCACACAGCACUUCCCUUGGAGGCUCAUUUGGUGAUGGGGACAUCUACAAAUGUGUCUUAACCUCUUCACUAGAUUGUGAGUUUCAUGAGGGUGAGAGCUGAGUCUUGCACAGUUCAUACCUUUGGAUAGAACCGUCCUCAGGCAAAAGUUAACACAUGAAAGAAUGAUCAGAAGAUGAGAGAGUUUUUGUGCUACGCAAAUGAAAGGUUUGGCUUAGAGGCCAGCAUUAAAGUUGUUUUGAUUGCUUCCUGUCAGCCAGCAAUCAGGAGACAGCUCCCACAUCUUGGCAAGCUGGUAACCCUCUGUAUCUGUCUUCAAAGUUAUGUAGAGGGGAUCUCAAAUCAGAACCUCAUGGCACUUUUGGUGGUACUUUCUUUGCCUACUGGGGGAAUAAGCCCAGGCCUCCAGCAAGCUAACCUAUCAGGUAGAAGCAAGCUGGGUGUGUACAUUGGGGAGCUCCUCAAAUUGAGCUCUCUUGGCUUUUUGCCCAUACCCAGCCCCUCCACACCAGGCCAAACUGUAGGCUGAAGCCAGUGGAGAAAGUAAUAGAUUGAAACUAGGAUGCUCAGGUUAAGUGGGCCGCUUUGUGGAGCUCAUCCAUAAUCCUGCAGGAGCCCAGAGAACAAUACGUUAAUUAGAGCCGACGGCACCGCUCCUACCAGCCAUCCAUCCUGCCUGUGUCUGCUGGGCCUUCCCUGUGGACAUGCCAGCCCACUCGCUACUCUGAAAGAGAUUUAUUCAUUAUCAAUGUUUGUCUGAAAGAAAGGGACCUGGUGGGGAGGGAGUGAGAUUCCAAGAGAAAUGGGAUAUGAAAGAGGUGGAGCCGAGCCUGCUGGCAGCUGACAAAUGGGUGUGUUUGGGGCUGGAAAGAUGGGGUGUUCCCAAUUAGGAGGAUAAGGUGAGUCCACCUGGUUGGGGAGGGGGAGAAGUCAGUCAGAUGAAAUUAGAAGAUGUUCAGUAAAUUUGUCCAGCAGGAAGUGGUCCUCGCUGGAGUUUUGGGUUUGAACCUAGCUCACUUUGAGCCCCAAAUGAUGGGGAAAGAAGGUAGGGAAGAGGAAGUUCACUUGCCUAAUAUCUAUCCCAGUGCUUGCACUCAGAGAGCACUGAAAAAGUGCUUGUUGGGUGAAUAAUUAAACGACAGGGGGGUUUAAAGCCAGAGGGAUUUAGGUCAGAUAUCAUGAGGAACUCAUUACCAGUGAGCAAAGAGAAAUACAAACCAGGGAGACCAAGAACAGGUCCUGAGAUUUUUACCCAAGAGUUCUUUGAGAGAAGGGGAGACACAUUUCAUUUUUCCCAGAGCCUAUUAUCUGUGUGUCAUGUAGAUUCUGGAGAAUAUGGGAGAUGAUCAGCCCUCCUGAAGUUAACAUGGCAGCCUGGAGAGGAGAGGGAUAACAAAGGACCGGUUGGGCUGAGGUCCACUGACCAAAGCUCCAUAGAGAAUGAUCCUGAGGGAGCAGUGGACACAGUCACUGCUGCAUAGACUCAUCUUGCAGAAGGUGUCUCAAGGGCUGUAGCUCCUUCUCCAUCCAAAUGGAGAAAGUGAGGCUGAAGUGGGGAAGAGACUUGCCUAAAGUCCCACAACUGGUUCAUCCCAGAACCUCGCUGUUCCAGCUGUGACAUUAGGGAGGGCCUGUCACCUAGAGGUGACAUCAUGUAGAUGUUUGAGAAGUGCAUCAAGUAGAUCCUGUGCCUAGUGCCUAGGAGGCAACGUAGUGUUUUGGGGAGAUAACUAAUGUGGUGAGUUGUCAAUUCUAGCGCUGCUUUUCUAUUAACUGGCUGGGUCACAUCAUCACGCCACUUAGUCCCUCUGGGUUUUAGUUUACUCACUUUCUUUUCUUAAUGUUUGAGAUGGAGUUUCACAGGCUAGAGUGCAGUGGCACAAUUUCAGCUCACUGCAACCUCCACCUCCUAAGUUCAAAUGAUUCUCUUGUCUUAGCUUCCUGAGUAGCUGGGAUUGCAGAUGCCUGCCAUGAUGCCUGGCGAAUUUUUGUACUUUUAGUGGAGACAGCAUUUCACCAUGUUGACCAGGCUGGUCUCGAACUCCUGACCUCAGGUGAUCUGCCUGCCUCGACCUCCCAAAGUGCUGGAAUUACAGACGUGAACUACCAUUCCCAGCCAGUUUACUCACUUUUAAACACAAAAUGAUUGAGCAAGAUUAGUGAUGUUUAAGCUUUAGCAAUCUCAGAAUCCCCUGGAGAAAGGCAGAUUCCUGGAGGCGGUCCCCAGAGUUCUGUGAAGGGGCUGAUAAUUUGCAUUUCCAGUAGUUUCCCAGUUGAUAAUGGUCCUGCCAGUCUGGGGACCAUACGAACUGCAUGACCAGGCGACUUCCUCUACAGUUCCUUCUGAUUCAGAUAUUUAAUGGGAUAUCCCCCCUUUUCCAAAUGCCUUCCAUUGGUAAGAAGAAUCUCUUGACUCCCCAGUGCAUGCCUCUUCUGGGUGGCACCGGCUUGUCCCUGACAUUUCUGGCUUCCCCUCCUGCUCCAGGCAGUUAAUGCCAUUUUCCCCACAUACUCAGGAUUGAUGAUCUAAGUCUUAGAAAAUGCACGGAAGGCAAUACAGGCAAAGUAUUAUCAACAAGAUUUAAGAAGAGUCCUACGAAACACAGCAAUAAAACCUGGAAAUAACUAUCCGUUUCCUACCAACAAAACAUCUCAUUUCCGAGUCCAUAAACACUCCCCCCUCUAGAUCCCCAGACCCAUCUGUUUUGUAAGCCUGUAUAAUUAUUAGAAACAUAAAGUCAGUUUCUAUACCUAAUGUAAUUAUCGGGAGCCAAAAUAGUAUCAGGUGAAGGAGGGGGAGAGGAGGAGGCUUGCUCACUGCAAACUCAGACUAUUUCUUUAAAGAGGGAGAAGUAGUCACAUGAGAAGAUAACGAUUCUUUAUGGUGAUAUUAUACUUCCUGUGCAGACUUUGGGGGCAACUUUGCAAAUAAGACUGAGCUGGCUCAUUUCAAAGCCAAGAGCGGUUUCCUGCCUUGUAAGGUGAGUUUAGGCCCUGUUGGGAACGAGAAAUUAGGAUCACCAUGCUUCCUCUGUGGCCAACCUUCAGAUUCUCUGGAGGCUCGGCGAGCAUGGCCUUCCUUCCGGAGGCACUGCCAAAGUUAGUUCAAGCCUUUCCUUCCCUUUGCACUGCCUCCGGAGGGGAAAAGAGAGUUUGUAAAGGCACUCUGAGAUUUUAGCCAGCUGGGGAUUCCUGGUUCACAAUGAAUUCAGGACAAUUGUCUCUGUGUCCUCCAGUGUCUCAGGGGAGCUAGCUAGUCACCUGCUGAAUAGGUGAGGAAGUGAAUAGAUGGAAUCAGGCAUGACUGUGGAAGGUACACAUGAUAACAGGAAUUGUUAGCAAAGGUGAAGGAGAGCAUCCUCCUUCUCUUCGGAUGGCGUAUUUGUGACAGUGUGUUGGGGCGGGGCAGAAUAAGGACCAAUGAGGCUGAUUUUGGUUUACUUUAUAAUAAGCAAAAUAACAUUUUGACCAGGAGAGCUUUCACCCUUUGCGUGGUGGUGAGUUCUCUGCCACUAGAGAUUUUCAAACAGAGCCAGGGCAACCCUUUCCCAUGAGGGUUAUCUAGGACCUGGGUAUGUUAGGUAGGAAGGAAGUGCAUGAGGAUGAGGGUCACAAAGAAUAUUUAUCAAGUAUCUACCUAUUGUGCGCCUGACUCUAUACUAAUGUCAUUUAAUCCCCUCGCCACACCCAUAAUGUAGAUGCUCAAACCCCUAUUUUAAAAAUCAAGCAAGCUCAGAGAUAUUUAUGUCACUAGUCUAUGUCACCCAGCUAGUGGGAAAUACAGCUCGGAUCGAAACCUAGGUCUGCCUGCUCCAAGUAUAUCUGUCUUCCACAGUGCCUUGAAAAAUACUGUCGGAUUUUUAGGCUUCAGAGUCUUCAGUGCACUUAUUGGAACUGAACUUGAUGUGCCUGGCUCCUGCAAACACAGGCUGCUGCCACCACUGGCUAAGAUGUUGCUCCGUCUUCUGGAUCCAUCACUGAGAAUUCAAAGCUCUUGUAAGAGGGCCCGUGGUGGGGAGGACUGUUGUCAGUGCCAUUCUUUUGCUUUGAAUUUGUUUGUUAAGCCGCCCUAGCAUCUUCCCCUCUGCAGAUUUGCUUGUCUGCCAGAAUCCCAAAUCAACCUGAUGGCUUAGGGAUUUCACUCUAUGAUCUGAAAAUCCAUGUUCCUUCUUCCCCUUCCCUACCCCUGGGAGUGGGCUCCUUUCUUCAGCUAUUGCACGGACUGCUUUCAGGGCUGAUGGGAGGAGCGUUUCAGCUGGGUGGGGGCAGAUGGCCGCAUUGUCGUUAAUGUCUAGUGAUGGGAGAAUCCCAAAGGCGCUGGUGUUGCAGUCUGGAGACAGCUAGAAAGCCGGGCCGACAUGCUUUCUGAAGCGUCCCGGCAGCCUUUGGAGGCAGCUUCGCCUGGAUUGCUAGCUGCCUUCAGCGGGGACCAGACCGUCUCUACCCACAUAUUCACUACUAGCGGCUGAGCAGAUGGCAAGCGCUUAAUCACUGCAUGGUGGAAAGAAGGAAGUAAGGAAGGGAGGGAGGAGGGAGGGAGGAAAGACUUGUCCUCAACAUCUUUGUCUGCCAGACAAUAGGUCCCACCCAGAUAAGGGUUCCCUGUGGCAGUCUGUUGCUCCUGUCUGGCAGGUACUCUGGCAUAGAAAACAGCUCUGGGCUUUAGCCUCACUAACUGGGUUCCAGUUGGGCCUUUGUAUUUUCGAACCCAGCAAGCUUGGGGAAGCUAUUUCUAUGAGCCCCAGUUUCCACUCUGUAAGAGGGAAUAAUCAUCACUCCCUUCAUAUAGGGUUGUUGUGAGGAUAAAAUCAGAUCAAGGGACCUCAUGUCCUCUGUAAACUGGGUUUCCUUAGGAAUAGAGGUUUAGCAUAUGGGGAAUCAGGAUUCCCGAAAUAAUAAUGCCAUUAUCAUUGGAUUAAUGUCUACUGUGUGUUAACUGCUGAGUCAUUUCUUUACAGACGUUGUUUCAGGGUAUAGUUUAUAAGGUGGGCAGUUUGGUGAUGAUGAAACAGAGGUUUGGAAAGGUUAAGUGACUUGAAAAACUAGAAUUUGAACCUAGGUUCCCAAUGGUCUCCAAGCCCAAAUAAUCUUCUCUCCACUUCAAGCUACUUUCCCUUAAGGCCAAUAUGGGUCAUGCAGGAGUAGAAGGGUCGAUGUGGUCAUGGUGAUGGGUGUUGGACUCAAAGACUCUGGAAAAGACUUUUUUUUUCUUUUUUGAGAUGGAAUCUUGCUCUAUCCCCCAGACUGGAGUACAGUGGUGCGAUCUUGGCACACUGCAACCUCUGCCUCCCAGGUUCAAGUGAUUCCCCUGCCUCAGCCUCCCAAGUAGCUGAGAUUACAGGCGUGCGUCACCGCAUCUGGCUAAUUUUUGUAUUUUUAGUAGAGAUGGGGUUUUACCAUAUUGGCCAGGUUGGUCUUGAACUUCUGACCUCGUGAUCCACCUGCCUUGGCCUUCUAAAGUGCUAGGAUUACAGGUGUGAGCCACUGCACCCAGCAUAAAAGAGUCUUUUUUUUUUUUUUUUUUUUUAAAGACAGAAUCUUGCUCUAUCACCAGGCUAGAGUCCAGUGGUGCAAUCUUGGUUCACUGCAACCUCUGCCUCCUGGGUUCAAGUGAUUCUUCCGCCUCAGCCUCCCGAGUAGCUGGGAUCACAGGCACGCGCCACCAUGCCUAGCUAACUUUUUUGUAUUUUUAGCAGAGACAGGGUUUCACCAUGUUGGCCAGGAUGGUCUCGAUCUCUUGACCUCGUGAUCUGCCUGCCUCGGCCUCCCAAAGUGCUGGGAUUACAGGCGUGAGCCACCGCGCCUGUCCCGAAAAGACUCUUAAAUCCUGUGACUUUAUCGUUUUCCCACUACACAGGGUAAAGCAAAUACUCAAGCCUCAUUCUUUUACUGGUUUCACAAAUCUUUCCCUUGCUCCCUUGCCCUAAGUGAGUCAUUUGCAGUUGGAUUCUGGUCUGCAGCCAGGUGCUGUUUCUUUUUCAAGGAAACAGGGGUGGCUGUGUAAAGACGAGGGUUCCCAGGAGUGCUCAGUGUGUAUGCCGGGUGUGUGUGUGGGGUAUGUGGUAAGGUGGAACAAGGCGAGGAAGAUACACCUUUAGGCAGUAACCAAUUGAUCAUUUGAUAAACUUUAUUGAGCACUUAUAUGUGCCAGGAGCUGUGCUGAACUCCACAGGGCUGAAGACAUGGGCUCUGGUCUCCAGAGGCUUAUAGAUUGGUGAGGAAGACAGGAUUCAAGGCAGAUGAAAAAGCUCCUUAUGCUUAUGGAUGGUAGAGGAGCAGACUGGAGCGGAAGGGAGGGGAGGAGAAGGGAAGGGAGGGAAGGGGAGGGGAGGGAAGGACGGGGGAGGGGGAAAGGAGGAGUGGGGGCAUGCUGUUGGGGAGAGAGGAGCAAGUCUUUACCCAGGGGGUGGUGGGCAGGGGGCAGUACACCCAUGUCCCUCUCCAGAAUUCUUUACCCCAGCGGCCCCCUUAGGCCUGGUUCUCAGUUUAAGUCAAAUAAUUUUGGUCCCUAGUUGCCUCCUGCCUGCCACUUUCCAACUCAAUCAUUCUUUGAAAUUUGGAGCUGUAGCUAAAACGCCUUUGCCCUGUAACAGGAUUUUCACAGUCUCCACAGCAGCGGCUAACGUCGCUCAUCACCUGCUGUUGUAAUCUGCACCGCUAAGCCCUCGGCUAGAGGCAAAAAGCUUAACUCGCCGUGCUGCUUCGAGCUUGCUCUUCCUGGCAUCCGAGCCAUAUUUCAGUCAGGGGAGCUAAUCCGCCCCCCCACCCAACUGCACACACAGAGACAUUUCAAAGGAAACACAAAUGGCAAAGGGAGCUGUGGCUCCUUCUGGGAGGGGCUCUGAGAGCCAAGCUCCCCAGACCUAAUGGGCAACAGAAAGUGCGUCCUGGCGACUGUGAGGAAAACCAUUCUUCAUGCCUUCUCCUGAAGGGUUUGGUGGGAGAGCUGAAGGGCUGAUUUUCCCGAAGACUGUGUUUUAAGGGCUGGCCGGGCCUCAGUGGCCACACUGGGAAAGUCAGCUUUGUUAAAAGGAAUAUGUAGUGAGCUGUGAGCGGGGGGCGUAUCCGUGUAUGCCUUGACUCGUGCCUGAUGAACUCAACACCUCCCAUCUUUCCUAAAAGCAUAAUCCCCAGUGUGUUUUUUGUUUUUCCUUCUACCUCUGUCUUAAUACUUUAUGUCCCAGAGAGCCAGAACCCAGAGCACUUGGGAAGAGUGCUUGCCACGUAGUAGGAGUUCACCAACUGCUUGUCGAAUGGGUGAGUACCAGCACUGGAGAUCAGCUUUGUUCCAGCCAUGGUGCUGUGUGCUUAAACAUGUGGGUAUAAGUGGAAAAGCAAACCAGAAACAGGAAAGAGUCACAGACUCCUAAGAGGCAGGGGGCUGAUGAAACCUAAUACGUGCCAGGUGUUUUUUAUAGAUGCUGGGGAGACAGCCGUGAAACACGGAGACUUAAAUUCCUACCCUGGUUCUAGUGGAAGGCAUUGGACCAAGACUGACCAGUGAGCAGAUUUUUGCUAAACCUAAGAAAUGACUUUCUGAGAACUAGAACUGUCCAGCAGUGUCAUGUGUGGUCGUGUGAGGUAGUCAGCUCCCUGUUCCAGGAAGAGUUUGAUCAGAGGCAACAUGAGCAUACCUGGGGAUGCAGAGGAGGGGGAGCAGAUCCUAUGGCUGCCCAUAUCCCCUUCCCUUAUUUCUGCAGUGCGCACUGGCCAGCUUUUUGCAGCCAGCACCUGCAUUUCUCUGCCUGAGAGGCUUCUCUGCCCCCAGAGUCUAUUUUGCUGCCCACUCAUCAACUGGAAAUGCGAGGGAAUUAAUGCCCACACCCUUUCCCUGGGAAAGGAGCCCUCAAGUGAUGACUGACUGGAGCUGGUACACAAAUGUCCCAGUUCCCAUGUCCCUUGGAUGGGUUCACACCAAGGCAAAUGUUUUCCACUGUUUCUCAGAUUUCCCGGCAGGAUUAAGCAGGGGUUCCCCACAGUGUAAACUUGCUGGAUAAGGAAUCCUUCACUGGCUGCCUUCCUGCCCCGUACCUCUUCCCCACUUCCUUUCUGACGUUUCCUGAUUACACCUCCAAAAUGAUGAUUUGCAUUUGGAUCUUCAUCUCCAUGUCUGCUUCUGGGAGACCCCAAAGGAAGACAAGGGGACCCCUGCUCUGUAUGGGUUCUGGGACCUCUGAGGAUUCCCUCCUUCCAGUUCUAACACUUGAUAACUGCCAAACUCCUACUGGGCUUUGGAAAUGGCACCAGAUUCAACCCAGAACUCCCUGUCCCAGCUUGGGGAUUGGGCAGAGAACAUUUCCUACUCAUAUGAGACAGCAGAGGAUGCCAAACCUGCCUCCUUACCAGGUCAGGAGGUUCCCUGACAGCAGUCCACUAAGCCCCUUUUGGGGUAAGCCCCCUGACAGAAGUCUGCUAAGCCCCUUUUGGGAUUACCCCAAAAGGGGUUUAGCAGACUGCUGUGCUCCAUCAGAGCAGAGCUGUAUCUUCUGAACCCAGAACCCUUCAUCAAAGUUUGUUGAUGUGGCUCUGCCUGAUCUUUGCAUCCCCUUAGCCUGUGCCAGUGCUAGCCAGGGCUGGGCCCUCAACACCUUCACUGCCAAGGUACUUCUGCUUCCCACAGAUGUUGAGCCAGGAGCCAAUCAGGGCUGGUCUAUGGGCUUUAUUAUGACACCUGUCCAGAGAAAGUUCAGGGCAUAGAACUGAGUGAGUAUCAAGCUGGGCUCAUUGUCUGCUACUGCCCAAGACCUGGCACCAUAGGUCACAGGUACAGACAAUAAAAACCACAUUUUUGGGUGGAGAGGAGAGGAACACAGGUUGUUCAGCAGGUGUGGUGGACACUAUCAUACGCAGCCCAGCCCAGAUCUCCUGACAAUGAAGAACAUGUUGACCAGCUGGGAAAGUCAGCAGACAGGCUUCCACGAUCGGUCUCUACAGAGAUCACUUCAGCUGCAGACAGCCUCGUGCCGGGGUUGUGCCCCUCUGGGGUGGCCCACAACCACUGACAGAUUGAUAUGGGAAUAGAAAGACCUGGCCAUCUUGGCUGGAUUCAGGAUGGCCCCCAAGGGCCCUUCUCAGCUCCAUAACUCCUUGUGGGGUGUGCCAAAGCUGCCUUUGGGCUGCAUAAAAGCUGGAUUCCUCCCUCUGCCCAGGCUCACUUCUUACCCUGCAUGACCGCUGCUGUGGGUCCCAUGCCACUUCUUAUUAAACACCCCGCUGGCAAAACUCCAUCUCAGGGGCUGCUCUCAGGCAACCUGACCUGUGACAGUGGGACAUCGUCCCCACCUACUCAGCUAAGCCUCUGCGUCAGCCUGCCAAACUCUAUUCCUUUCCAAAUUGUCAUCCCUACAGGAAGCUCUGCCUACCUUAAAGAGCUAGUCUCAAGCCCAGCCCAGCUCCUCCAUUGGUCUUGGCAGGGAGGAUCUAUGGGCUGGCUGGUGAGAGUAGGGUAGCUGCUUCCUGCAGACCACACCCUCCCCCAAAACACACACAUGGCACCAUAAUUAAGUCAUAUGCUGAUGCCCCAGCUGCGCUCAGACACCUAGAAGGUGAAGCCAUCACGGGCUCCGAAGCAGUGUCUCUGGAUCUGAGGUGCAUUCCUGCAGCUGGGACUGCAAUGGGAGCUCGCUUUAUUAGAUCCCAUUAUAAAUGGAUGAUUUGCCAUCUCCGAAGAUAAAUGGGAAACUUAAUGCAGAGGUAUCCUAUCUGGGGAAACUGGAGAGUUAUGGAUGUUAGCUUUGUAGCUUUAUGAAAGCACUCUCUUAUAGAAACUGAAAUGACCAAGAUUAGAUUGAAUUAGUAUGUACUGGUAUGAGCUUUUUCUCCCCCUAUCCAUCUUGACUUUUUUUUUUUUUAAGGCAGAAGAUUUGCCUCCUGGGUGAGCAUUUCAGAAAAAUACAAAUCCUGAGUUUGGGUUUGGUAAUUAGCAGGAUUGCCUCCUGGUGCUAACGAGGCAGCUACCCAGCUGGGACUGUCUAUGUAGGUGGAGGAAGUGGCGCCCUCUGCUGGCUUCCUUUAUGGGUGGUGUCUGCUCCCUUCCACCUGGGAUCCCCCUUGGUACCAGGUGCUCUCUUCACCUGUCCUUGUAGAAUGCAGAUAGAUUAGUGAGGCCUCUUGUCCAGCACCCAGGCUCCUGGCUACCCCAUCCGAGGAUGGGGAUGCUCCAUCCCAUACAGACCCCACUCUCCAGCAGUGUUCCCUAGGCUGAGCUUGAGAACCAGCUCCUAGCUGGGUGGUGAGGCUUUCUGCCAGCAAACAGCUCCAUCUGAUAUGUAUGUUAGAGCACUUGUGAUACCAAGCACAAGGCUAGGCACUGGAGGCAUUAAGAUGAGGAGACUAAGGUUCUUGCCCUUCAGGAGAACCAUCUAACUGAGGGGAGGAAGGCAUAUGUAGAUGAUUUCCAAACGGGCACUCUUUGUACCUUCUGCCUUGAUGGACAUGUUCUCUAUCUUUGCUGACCACAGGAAGUGCAGUAGCCAUGAACUUCCUGUGGUCCCCUGGAGAUAAUAAGAAUGGGAGUCGGGAAAGGAAUUCUAGGGUUGGUUCUUAAGCCAACCAUCCUGGGAUCUCAGGCAAAUCAUAUCUGUGAUUUGAACCCCAGUUUCAUUUUUUCUUGUUAAAACUUGCUCUGCUUCUCUACAAUAUUAGAACCAAGAGAUCUAAUCUUCACUUGGCCCACUUUUCACCUGAUGGAGGGAGGAGCAGAGGCUGUAACCUGCCUGAUCUCAUGGCUGUGAAGGGCAGAAUCAGGCCCUUAACUCCUCAUCCUGGUUUUUUGACCAGAGCAGGCUGCUGCUGGGGGUGCUGUGGGGAUCAAAUAUGAAAAGAGAAAGGAAGAUCUUUGGAAAGUCAAAGCUACCCAAGUCUCAGAGCCUUUUGACACCAUGGUGGCUGGCGAAACCACCCACAGAGCCACUGAAGGCUCAAGACCGUGUGGCGAGGUUGGACACACACUUGAAGCUUAGAGAACUAAUGUAGAAGAGGCUUGUCUGUGAGAUUUUGCAGUACCCUAGGCCCAACACACAACCCUACAGUUGAUGUCUGCCCCAAACUUCAGCAUGAUAAAAGAAUUCUAAGAGUUGGGCUGUAGGAGGAGGACACAAAACAGUGUAUGUGCCAUUAGAUCUCAAAUUUCAGGAGCCCUGAGAAGCUCAGAGCCUCUCAGAUACUUUACUCCAACAGGUUGGAGUUCACCUGUUGAAUGCCCAGCAUCCCUAUUAGACAGUGAGUGAGUUAUCCCAGCAUGGCUUCUGGAGCUGCCUUUGGGUCAAGGAACUUUGCAGAGAUGGAGAGUGGGAGGCUUAUAUGGAAAUAAAAGUGGGGGACUCCUUGCAACGAACUCAACUCCAGGAGGGUGUCAGCACUGUAAUGGAAUUUGAAUGAAGUAUUGAGAGCUGGGUUGGGAGAUGAGAGAGGUCAGGAGCAGUAAGUCUCAGGUGGAAUCAUUUAAAAUUUAAAACACAGAUUAAACAGCUUCCUUUUUCUGAUGACAAGUACUGUGCCUAUCCUGGGUCCCAGGGAGCUCCCUCAUAGAGGUUCAGAGCUCUGUUGAAUGCAGGGACCCAGGCUAAGAGGCUUCCUCUGUUCGCCAGCCAGCUCUGGACAAGGCCUGGGGCACUUUUCCUGCAAGCCCCCAUCUUUUCCCACACUGUGGCCCACUGGGUCUUGGGGCCUCUGCCAAGGCCUACCAGCCCCAGGGGUGCCUCCAUUUCAGGCUGUUCAUGCUGGUGCAAGCUACUUCUCCUAUAAUGGAAGUAUUUUUCGUACCCUUUGCCUACUGGUUCUUUACUUUGAGCAUGGGGAAGUGAGAUCUUUCCUUGGAUGAGGUGUGCUUUGUGCUCUGAAGGCUAGUUUCUAGGUUACCACCUGGCUGUAGCAGGAGCGGAGCCAGAAGAACUUUGGGAUAACUUCAACCAUCUCCCUCUCUAUCCCCAUCGACAGAGGAGACAUUGAGGUACCAAAGAAGGAAGCGACUUGCCAAGUUCACACAGCUAGUCAGCAGCGAGGUUGGAAUUGAAAUUUAGGAUAUAUAACUCAUUCAAUCCUUCAUUCCAUACAUUUAAAAUAAAUGCCCAGUAUGUACCAAGAAUGAUGCCAGCCAAGGGGAAAACGGAGAGUGAGAAGACAUGGUCUGCAUUCAAGGAGUUUGCCUCGGAGUGCGGGAGAUGAACAUAUCAUCCUCGAUUUUUACAAGUGGUACAAAGGAAAAUAUCUGGGUGAUGACACAAGAGACAAAAGCAGAGUGGGGCCUUAGUCUCUAGAGAGGGUGGUAUGAAAAGGCUCAUCUGAAUAAGCGAUAAUAUUGAGCUUAGAUAAGCAGGAUCAGCAGGGGUCAGGUCAAGUGUGUUCCAGGCAGAGGGAGCCGCAUGCACAAAGCCCCUGCAGGAGGAGAGUUUGGUGUCAUGGAAGAAACAGCCAUCCGCCACCAACAUCAGCGUGGUUGAGUAGGGUGCGAGAGGAGAUAAGGGUGAAGGUGAGGCAAGGGCAAGGUCAUGCAGCAGACCUCCCUGAGUCAAGUGGAAGAAUGCCAAUUUCAUUCCCAUUUCUGCCAUGCUGUCCAAAAGUCGUAGCUGUGUGUGUUUAGGCGGCACAGUGUCAGGGAAGGCCAGGAGCAGGACACAGCCUGUAAAUGCAGGGACUUAGCAUGAGAAGGAGAGGGCUUCUGAAGACAAGGGUUGGACAUAGGAUGCAUAGAGCUGCCUUCAGCCAAGGGAGGGGACACUGAGGGGACACAAGCAAAGAAGCCUUGGAGGAAGACCUUUGAGACUGGCACCAAGGCUGUCAGGUGGCAACCGAGAGGGUGGUUUGUCCAGAAAGGAUUAAGUAUAUCCAAGGAUUGAGGCCAAGAGGCAUUGUCUAACCAGCCAGGGCCUUAACAGAUCCAGAUGGAAGAAGCCAGACUUGGGCCUCAGGCUGAGCCAAGCGUAUCCUUGAUUAAGCUGAGUGUCUGUGGGUUACUUCCCUGGAUGCAGCUGGUGCCCUCAGAAGUCCUGGCUGGUCGGUUCUAAAUAGUGGUGGAGUGCGUGUCAUGCUGACACACUUCUCACCUGGGAGAGGGGCUGCUGAAGACACAUAUGGCAAGGUGACAGGGGGCAAGCAUGUUGCUCCCAUGGAUGCAGCAGGUAAGGAAGGUAGAGGAGGAGAAUGAGGGGGUGGGGUGGGGGGUCUUCCUUCAGCUCAAGUGAAGCAAGGUCUGCCAUUCUUCUCUGGGCUGUCUUCUCUGACCCUGGCUGUGGAGGUCUGAAGCUAAAGGAUCAGCCUGCUUCCUGCUCCAGGUAAGUGUGACUAGCAUGGCCCUGGAGGCAGCCCCCGCCCCUGGUUUUUCCCCUCUGGUGACCAUCAAAGCUGACAUCACAAUUUGAUUAACACAGCGACCUCUCAUGGGGCCAUUACCAUGAACAAGAUAAGGCAUGCCAAGCACUUAGCACAGUGCCAGAGACCCCGGAUGCCUGGUUUAGCUGCUGAUAGAUUUACUAUUUACUGGGUCAGGUCUCUUCCAUUAAUGCUAUUUAGCCCCACUCCUUUGCCCUGGGCUGAGCUACUUGACCUUCUCACAUGAUCUGAUGUCCUCCUAUCUUUUGCGAAGAGACAAUAUAAUAUAGGACCUUUGGUUCUCUGCUUGGUGCUGGUCCAGAGUGACCUCAGCCAAGUCACUUCUGCUCCCCAAGUCUGUUUGGUCAUCUGUCAGUUGAUGUGCUUGUUCUAAACCAGAGCUCUGCACUAGGUUGCUGUGCCACAUUGCUGAGUCACAACUAAGUUACCUGUGUGUUGAGGGGGCAAGUCCCUCGGCCCUUGAGAUGCCUUGGUGGGUCAGGAUAGCCCCUAACAAGGUCUCCUCUAACUGCAAGUAGCCUGUGCUAUUGACUCCAGCAUGCAGAACAAAUAUUGCCAUUUUAUCUGUGUGCUAUAAUGUAAAAAAGGAAAAGUUGAGAAGCCCUAGAAAUCAUUCUUGAUAUGCUAAUAUUCUGAGUCAUCUCCUAGCUUCAAAACUUGCCUAUUCCAAGAAGUCUGCCCGCCCCCACAGCAUCGUUCAAUGAUAUUUCUUCUUCAGGGUCUUCUCAGCAGUUAUGAGCUGCAUUCGCCUGGAAUGAAUGAAUUAAUUUGUACUUCUUAAUAUGUGACCUGUGGGCUGUUUCCUGUAACAACAAUGACAAUGACAACAACUCCUCUCACUUAUUGAGCGCGUGGGUGGCAGACAGCUCACGAAGUGCUUUGCUAUUCGCUUCCACAAUAGUGUGUGAGGGAUGCGUGCACUGUUGUGUAUGCACACACGGGAAGCCUGAGACUUACAUAGCUGGAAACAAUUGCCCAAAUAGGAAGUGGCUGAGUGAUGACUUGGAUGUGAGUCUGUCUGGCCUGAUGUAGUCCGUGCUCUUAAGCAGUUAAGUAGUAUGCCUUGUGUGUGUGUGUGUGUGUGUGUGUGUGUGUGUGUGUGUCCUUCUCCCAGUUAAACUAUAGAUCUCCCAAAAGAGAGAGUGUUUUCUGCAUUCUUUCCAUCUUCCCAGAGCUCAAAAUGAUAUUCAAUAGUCCGAGCUCAGUGAUUACUGUUGGGCAUGUUAGACACUUUGUUCUAAGUUAAGAGUGAGGUAUAGAAUAGCCUUCCCUGGGUCACAGGUAGGAAGCACAACUGACCACUGGUUUUGCCUGGGUGUAGGUGGGUGUGUGAAAUCUUACUGGGAUGGUGGCACAGAAGAGCCUCCCAGCCCCGCCUGCUCCAGGUAGCUUGACUGCUGUUUCAGGGUAAAAUGGACUUCACUAAGGGAAGUCAGAACUGGAGAAUUCAUAAAGUAUGUCCUUCAAGCCAGGUACCCAGCCCAUGACACUUGGUCCUGGGGCUUCCCACAGCUUCUCGCACAGUCCUGUCUUCUCUCUUUCAGAGGGGCAAGUAAAAGCCAGUGAUUGUCAUCUAGGAUUAAUGGGUCUUGGUAGCCUGGAGUGGGGAUCACAUAUCCAAGCAGUGCUCACUUGUGACCCUGGCCUCCAAUCUAAAGCCCCUGUCUCCUCUCCAUCAGUGCCCCGGGACUGCAUGCUUAACCCUUCUUCCUUCCCUCCUCCCUUGGCUUUAAUGUCCUCACCUGGCCUUCCCACUGCUUAGCUUCUAGUUCGGUCCUAUAAAGGAGCUUAGACUCUUGGUGAGUUGUCUUUGAGUGGCCCGAGGAAGCCCCCAUCCCACUCUUCUUUCUCCUGAACACCCAAACCACACACAUAUGUGCGAUGUGGUUAAGGAUCAGACAGUCCUGCAUUUGACUCUCUGCUCUAACUGAUUAGUAUGUAACUUUGGAUAAGUUCAUCGAUAUUCGCUUAAGAAGUAUUUACUGAGCACCUACUAUGUGCCACAUACUAUGCUAUGUACUGGACAUGUGGUGAUAUGUGGAGAAUAAACCCGGCAGGUGCGUGCUUGUGAAGGUGGUCAGGUGAGGUCUCCUUGAGUUGAAGUCUGAAUGAUGAUAAAGAGGUAAUACGGAGGAAGAACAUUCUACUGAGACAGGGGAAACAACCAGUGCAAAGGCCCUGAGGCACACUGACACAUUCAGUAGAUUUACAGGGUGUUGCUGUACUGGAGAAUGAACUGCAGAUCAUCAGGAGUGGCAGUAAGGAAACCGGUGAGAAGUCUACUGUGAAGGUCCAGGUGAGCACUGACGAAGGCCGAGUAUAUUAUAUCUUCUCUCUGAAACUUACUUGCCCUAUUCAAAAAAUGAACAUAACAAGAGUACUUCCCUUACAGGGUGGCCAUGGAGAGUAAAUGAGUCGGUAUUUGGCAUGCAGUAAAUAGUAACUAUUAGCAUUAAUAAAAAGGGUAGUCAUCACAAGUGUGGGCUCAGCUCUAUGAGGCUUCACAGGAGAACUGAGCCUCCAGUGAAGCUGAGACUUUUCCAUCCAGCGGUCAGGGGUGCUUCCAGGGAGUCAGAGGUCAGAGGCCAGCUGCCCCUUCUGUCACCCAUCCCAGGUUCUUAGUAAAGGGCAUCACUGGAUGCUCAGUGGGGAUUAAGGCAGCCACUGCUCAGGGAGGAGGGACAGGUGGCCUUGGGAGGGAGGGCAGCAUCUUCUCUGUGUUAUGGAAGCUAGCAGGCUGAGGAGUGGGGAAGCUCAAGCAACCCGUGCUUCCUGUGUUCCUGAGCCAGACCUGGGAGAAAUUCUCACCUCAUCCAGGGAGGCUUUGAGUUGAGAAGAAAGAAUUGAGCUAGGAGGGGAGGCAAGCCAGGGUAUAGAAGGCAAGGAGGCAGGCUCUCCUUCUUCUUGACUUUCCAUAACCCAGGGCAGGGAUGUGGGGUAAAUAGAGGAAGAGAGAGGAGAAGGGGUGAGGGGAAUCACUUCCCAUCUUUGUGAUGAGUGGAUGAGAUGAAAGAAGCCAAAGCUACCAAGAAGGAUUUGGUUAGAUGCCCUCAACUGUACAGAGACAGCAGUUGGACCCUACAGCACAUUUCUGCUCGAAUAAACAGGACCUUCUCUCCGGCAGAAAUCCUUCUCUUCCAACUGGCAUGGGGGGUGAGCCUGCUGAGAGGCUAAGAGGGCUCCGAUGACCUCUAGCUCCUGCCCCCACCUGACUGCACCAGUUGUCUGCAAUGGUGGCAAAGGGAAAUUUUAUGAGCUCUUCAGUCCUCAGGUCUCAUGGGCUUUUGCCUUGCUCCAGACCAUCUCUGAUACACACAUAUAUCUUGAAAAGGAAAAGAAAGAGAGAGAAAAGCUAUUUUAUUUCAUUGCCAAACCAUCCACUUUAAAUACCCUUUUUAUUACAGUAUCUGCAUAGUAAUACUAAUAAUAGAUCUUGUUGGCAGCUCUAAUGAGGCUGGAGAAUAUAAGGUUUCCAAUAAAGUUAAUUGUUGCCUUUAAUAUUCUCAUACAUUUAUACAUGGUAAAUCUUUAAAGGAGAAAAAACACUCCAUUUCAUCCCUUAAGCAGCCGGUCCUAGACUGGAUUGAGACCAACUGCAGUAGAGACGUGGGCUGGGAGCUUGACUGUCGGAAAACUUGGAUUAGGAUCUCCAGACUUCCUCCUACCAAGAAGAGCGGAGUGAGUAGAAGGAGCUGUUUUCCCAUGCCCCACCCACAUGAUCCUGGAAACGAAGAGGAACCUGAGAUGCUCUGGGUUAGGGACAGGCCUGUGUGACCUUGUGUUUUAACAAAUGGAUCACAAACAAUCCAACCCCCACCUCUCUGGCCUUCCUCACCCAGUCGGAGUUCUCCGCUCCACAUCAACGCCUCUCCCGCUGGCAAGUGGUCCCUGCCAGCUCUCACACAUCGAUUUAAGAAACAGGCUGUGGAAGUGAGCAGGGUAGCAGGCUGUGACUGGGAAAGAAGACUGUGAGAAGGGAAGAGACGAAGCAAUCUUCCCUGCUGCUCCUGUAUCUCUUCAUGGAUGCCUUACCUUUUAUUUUUAAGUUUUAUUAAAAUAUAAUUGACAUACAAUAUUCUGAACAUAUUUAAAGUAUACCAUUUGAUGAGUUUUGACAUAUGUAUAUUUGAGAUAAUGAACAUAUCCAUCAUUUCCGUAAGUUUCUUUGUGCCCCUUUGAAAUCCCUCUCUCCUGCACUCCCCACCCCCAAUCCCUAGGCAAACACUGAUCUGCUUUCUGUCACUAUAGAUUCAUUUGCAUUUCCUACAAUUAUAUAAAUGGAAGCUACAAUAUGCACACAUUUUGUCUGCCUUCCUUCACUCAGCAUAAUUAUUUUGAGAUCCAUCUGUGUUGUAGUAUAUAUCAAUAGUUCAUUUCUGAUAGUAUUUCAUUAUAUGAAUAUACCACAGCUUGUCUCUUCUCCCAUUGAUGGACAUUUGGAUGUUUUCAUUUUUUGGCUGUUACAAAUAAUGCUUCUGCGAGCAUUUGCGUAGAAGCUUUGGCAUCCAUAUACACUUACACUUCUCUUGGGUAAAUACCUAAGAGGAGAAUGACUGGAUCAUAUAGUAGGUGGUUGUUUAAAUUUUUGAGAAACUGCCAUGCUGCUUUCAAAAUUAGUUGUACCACUUUACAUUCUCUCAGCAGUAUAUGAGAAUUCCAAUGGCUUCACAUUUUUGGCAAUACUUGGUAUGUUCAGGCUUCUUAAUUUUAGCCAUUUUAAUAGGAGUACAGGGGUAUCUCAUUGUGGCUUUAAUUUGCAUUUCCCUAACAAGUAAUAAUGUUGUUUCUUUUUUUCAUAUGUUUCUCUGCUUUCUGUAUAUUUUCUUUGGUGAAGGCAAAUCUUUUGUCUGUUUCUAAAUAACAUUGUUUAUGUUCUUAUUAUUUAUUUUUGAAGGUUAUUUAUAUAUUAUAGAUACACAUCUUUGACCAAAUACAUGGUUUGAAAAUAUUUUCUCAUUCUGUGCCUUGUCUUUUAUUCUCUUAACAGCUUGUCUUUUUAUUCUCUUAACUGUGUCUUUGAAAAGCAAUUUUGGAUUUUGAUGAAGUUCUAUUUACAAGUUGUUUUUUUAUGCAGUUAUGUCUAAGAUGCCUUUACUUAAUCCAAGGUCAUAAAGCUUUUGUCUUAUGUUUUCUUCUAGAAGUGUUAAAGUUUUAGGUUUUAUAUUUAGAUCUAUUACCCUUUUGAGUUGAUUUUUGUAUGUGGUGCACAGAAUGGAUCAAAAAUAUGUAGUUUUACAUGUGAAUAUCCAAUUGUCCUAAUACCAUUAGUUGAAAAGUUUUAAACUUCUUCCCUUUACUUGCUUUUAUAAGCUUGUCAAAACUCAGCUAUAUAUAUAAAGAUAUAUGUUUGCGUCUAUUUCUGGCCUCCAUUCUGUUACAUUGAUGUUUACACCAAUACCUCACUAUUCAUAUACUACAAUUUUAUAACUCAUAAAAACAGGUAAUGCUAAUCCUCUAAACUUGCUCUUUUUUUUUUUUUUUCAAAGUUGUGUUGUCUAUUUCAGGUUCUUUGAAUUUCUAGAAAUAUUUUAGAAUUAGUUUAAAACUUUCUACUAAAAAGCAUGGUGAGAUGUUAAAUGGGAUGGCAUUGAAUCUAUUGAUGAAUUUGGAGGGUACUGACAUUUUACUUUUAACAAUAUUGAGGCUUCCAAUUCAUGAACAUAGUAUGUACAUUUCCCUUUAUUUGGGUGUUUAAAAAUUUCUUUAAGUACUAUUUUAGGGUCUUUGGUGUACAUAUCUUUCACAACUUUUGCAUAUCUUUCCCUAAAUAUUUUAUAUUUUCUGAUGUUCUUGUAAAUAAUACUGUUUUCUCAAUUUUAAUUUUUGAUUAUUAUUACCAUUAGUAUAUUAAAAUUGAAUUUUGUAUAUUUA